GCUUGCUACCUGACCUAGCGGCGGACGGGUGAGUAAUGCUUAGGAAUCUGCCUAUUAGUGGGGGACAACAUUCCGAAAGGAAUGCUAAUACCGCAUACGCCCUACGGGGGAAAGCAGGGGAUCUUCGGACCUUGCGCUAAUAGAUGAGCCUAAGUCAGAUUAGCUAGUUGGUGGGGUAAAGGCCUACCAAGGCGACGAUCUGUAGCGGGUCUGAGAGGAUGAUCCGCCACACUGGGACUGAGACACGGCCCAGACUCCUACGGGAGGCAGCAGUGGGGAAUAUUGGACAAUGGGCGAAAGCCUGAUCCAGCCAUGCCGCGUGUGUGAAGAAGGCCUUUUGGUUGUAAAGCACUUUAAGCGAGGAGGAGGCUACUUGGAUUAAUACUCUAGGAUAGUGGACGUUACUCGCAGAAUAAGCACCGGCUAACUCUGUGCCAGCAGCCGCGGUAAUACAGAGGGUGCGAGCGUUAAUCGGAUUUACUGGGCGUAAAGCGUGCGUAGGCGGCUUUUUAAGUCGGAUGUGAAAUCCCUGAGCUUAACUUAGGAAUUGCAUUCGAUACUGGGAAGCUAGAGUAUGGGAGAGGAUGGUAGAAUUCCAGGUGUAGCGGUGAAAUGCGUAGAGAUCUGGAGGAAUACCGAUGGCGAAGGCAGCCAUCUGGCCUAAUACUGACGCUGAGGUACGAAAGCAUGGGGAGCAAACAGGAUUAGAUACCCUGGUAGUCCAUGCCGUAAACGAUGUCUACUAGCCGUUGGGGCCUUUGAGGCUUUAGUGGCGCAGCUAACGCGAUAAGUAGACCGCCUGGGGAGUACGGUCGCAAGACUAAAACUCAAAUGAAUUGACGGGGGCCCGCACAAGCGGUGGAGCAUGUGGUUUAAUUCGAUGCAACGCGAAGAACCUUACCUGGUCUUGACAUAGUAAGAACUUUCCAGAGAUGGAUUGGUGCCUUCGGGAACUUACAUACAGGUGCUGCAUGGCUGUCGUCAGCUCGUGUCGUGAGAUGUUGGGUUAAGUCCCGCAACGAGCGCAACCCUUUUCCUUAUUUGCCAGCGGGUUAAGCCGGGAACUUUAAGGAUACUGCCAGUGACAAACUGGAGGAAGGCGGGGACGACGUCAAGUCAUCAUGGCCCUUACGACCAGGGCUACACACGUGCUACAAUGGUCGGUACAAAGGGUUGCUACCUAGCGAUAGGAUGCUAAUCUCAAAAAGCCGAUCGUAGUCCGGAUUGGAGUCUGCAGCUCGACUCCAUGAAGUC
rnacentral:rRNA from 1 species